UACGUAGGGUGCGAGCGUUGUCCGGAAUUAUUGGGCGUAAAGAGCUUGUAGGCGGUUUGUCGCGUCUGCUGUGAAAUUCCAGGGCUUAACCCUGGGCUUGCAGUGGGUACGGGCAGACUAGAGUGUGGUAGGGGAGACUGGAAUUCCUGGUGUAGCGGUGAAAUGCGCAGAUAUCAGGAGGAACACCGGUGGCGAAGGCGGGUCUCUGGGCAACAACUGACGCUGAGGAGCGAAAGCGUGGGGAGCGAACAGG
rnacentral:rRNA from 1 species